rnacentral:sRNA from 1 species
GGAUGUGAGGGCGAUCUGGCUGUGAUAUCAGUCACCCCAUUGGUCACCAGGGUUGACUGGUUGAUCUGGCUGGCUAGUGGGUGUUCCCUUCUCUCACUGCUCCAUGUGCGUCCCUCCUGAAGCCAGGUUCUUAGUUGGCCAAAGAGGACAAUCUUCCCCAAAUAGAGGAGGACAGGUCUUCAGCCAAAGGUAUAAGACUAGCUGCUUUUCUAUGCUUGAACCUCCAAAUAAACCCUCAAAAAAAAAAAAANNNNN